UACGUAGGUGACAAGCGUUGUCCGGAUUUACUGGGCGUAAAGAGCGCGCAGGCGGUCGAUCAAGUCGGGUGUGAAAGCCCCCGGCUCAACUGGGGAGGGUCAUUCGAUACUGAUCGACUCGAAGGCAGGAGAGGGUAGUGGAAUUCCCGGUGUAGUGGUGAAAUGCGUAGAUAUCGGGAGGAACACCAGUGGCGAAGGCGACUUCCUGGACUGUUCUUGACGCUGAGGCGCGAAAGCUAGGGGAGCAAACGGG
rnacentral:rRNA from 1 species